UUAUAGGACGUACAGGUUAUUUCCUUCAUAAUAAAUUACAACUGACGAAACCGGAUUAUAAUGGGACAAGCAUAAGUUAUGUGGAUUGAAAACCAUAUUUUCAACAUUUUUUGAUUCCAUUAAAAUUUUCAAGGCUAUCAAAUUAUUGGAAGAAAUGGUCAAAAUAUAAAGUUCAAGUGUCAAGAUAUCAAUAUUGCGCUAGAAAAUAUUUGAAGAUUCGAAUCACUCGUGAUUUAAAUAAACAAGGGUAAAUGUGUCAGCCAAAAGUCAAAAGAUAAUGAAUCGAUUGACUAUAAAUAUCAUGGGAAUUAUUCACUCAAUAUUACAACAAUUGAGCGUUGCCGCAGACUGGGAACGUAUUUGAAUAGCCGAAAUUGAGAAUAAUCAAAAAUGUCGACAAAAAUCUUAUUGUUGGCUAUCCUAUUUGUAGGCAUCUAUGCCAGUGCAGUUGAAGGAUGUAAAGGCAAAUGGUGUCAUCCUGUGCAAGGAUACUCAUGCUGCCCCGGCUAUGAAUGUAAUUGGGGAUACUGGUUUCAAGGAAAUUGCGUAGUAUAUACGUACGUUUCCCCUGGUCCUGGAAAAUAAAAAAUGAAAUAGAAUAUAAAAAAAAAAAAGUGUAACCAAUUAUAUGCAUAUAUAAAUCUGAUUGCACAAUGAUGAAAAAGAAUAAAUACGCAAUUUCACUUGUGAAAAAACCUUCCUAUGAAA